rnacentral:snRNA from 10 species
GACUAUGAGGGCAACCUGGCUGUGACAUCUGUCACUCCAUUAAUCUCCAGGGUUAAUUCAGCUGGCUAAUUUAGCCGAGUAAACUGGUUGGCUAGGCAGUUGUUCCCUUCUUCCCUCACUGCCCCAUGUGUGUCCCUCCCAAAGCUGCAUGCUUGGUGGAAGAGAACAACAUUCCCUGAUACAGUAGAACUUUUUUUGGUCAAGAGUAUAUUUGUAGCUAUAGUCCCCAGCUAGAACAUCCUCUAAGCAAGCUCUUAAGGUCCAUUUGUAGGAGAACAUAGGGUACUCAAACCCAUGACUCCAGAGACAUCCAAGAGAAGUGGAUGUGGACAGUCUGCACUA